rnacentral:rRNA from 1 species
AAAUUGAAGAGUUUGAUCAUGGCUCAGAUUGAACGCUGGCGGCAGGCCUAACACAUGCAAGUCGAGCGGAAACGAGUUAUCAGAACCUUCGGGGGACGAUAACGGCGUCGAGCGGCGGACGGGUGAGUAAUGCCUAGGAAAUUGCCCUGAUGUGGGGGAUAACCAUUGGAAACGAUGGCUAAUACCGCAUGAUGCCUACGGGCCAAAGAGGGGGACCUUCGGGCCUCUCGCGUCAGGAUAUGCCUAGGUGGGAUUAGCUAGUUGGUGAGGUAAGGGCUCACCAAGGCGACGAUCCCUAGCUGGUCUGAGAGGAUGAUCAGCCACACUGGAACUGAGACACGGUCCAGACUCCUACGGGAGGCAGCAGUGGGGAAUAUUGCACAAUGGGCGCAAGCCUGAUGCAGCCAUGCCGCGUGUGUGAAGAAGGCCUUCGGGUUGUAAAGCACUUUCAGUCGUGAGGAAGGCGGGUAUGUUAAUAGCAUAUUC